CAGGAUGUAACUUGUUGGCACUGGAAAAGUUAGAACUGGAGAGGAUAUGUGUUUGGAUUGGACAAGUUUUGGGUUCUAUCCUUUUGGGACCUACAAAGUCCACAUCUUCUUUGUUUUAGUUUUUUGGGGUUUUGUACCGCUUUUUGGGUGAGAUCCUCUCUUGUGGAAUUCAAGGUAAACCUCUUCUCUAGCCGAAUCUAUCUUUUGCCACAUGCAUCUGUUGAUUCCAUCUCCACUUACUUUUUAUUUUUAUUUUUUUUCCCUUUUCCAUCCCUUUCUGCUUUUUCUUCUUUUUACUAUCAUGUUUUCUUGUUUCUGGCACCUGAAUUUUAGGUUCAAGUUCGGUUUUUUCGAGGUGGGUUGAUUGUGGGUAUUUGCAAAGUUAAUACCAUCUUGGUUUGAUUUUGUGAGGUGGGUUGCUUUUUGGGUACUUGCCAGUAAGUUAUUUUUGUCAAUAUUCUUUCAUGUGCUCCAGUUGUUUGUUUUUGGUUUUCCAUCAGGAGGAGAAUUACUUUUUUGAGGUGGGUUGAUCUUCAUUAGCUGCUACUUUUGCAAUCUGGGUAGGCCUGAAUUUAUUUUUGAUGAUUGAAUUUAUUAGAAAAUUAUAUCAUUCUUUUUUUGAAGUAGGUCUAUCUUUGAUGCUUGUAGAAUGGGGUGAAUUUCUUCAGGAAGUAAUUGAUUUUGCUAUCUGAGUAUGCAAGUCUUCCCUAUUGAUUAUUCUUGCUGAAGUACUGUUUCCUUGAGGAGGAAUUGCAAUUGACAUUUGGCUUGGCAUUUCUUUUAUGGCGAAGUUUGCCUCAAAAGGAGGCUAAUUAGAUCUUAUUGUGAUUUGGGGAAAGAAUGUUUUUGUAAGUGGAAUUUGUGGUGAAGAAAAAGAAAAAGAUGAUGAGAGGACUAAAAGAUGAGGAAAAAGUGAUAAGUCCUAUGUUUCCUAGGCUUCAUGUGAACGAUACGGAGAAAAGAGGGCCAAGGGCACCUCCAAGGAACAAGAUGGCUCUAUAUGAACAGCUCAGUAUUCCUUCUCAAAGGUUUAGCUCUGGAUCAUCACCUAUGUUGCCUCUUCCACCUAACAGUGGACGUAGCUCGGUUCCUUCAAUGUCCUCAAGCCAUGGUGGUGGCUAUGAAAGAAGUGUUUUUACCCCAUUCUGCAACUCCCCUGCACCUUCACAUUCUGAGAAGCCUUUUUCUCAAUCCUUUAGUGGAGUUAAGCCAAGUAGUAAAAUGGAAAGCCAAGAACGGAAAUCCAUGAGUUCCAGAAAUGAUCAAAGUUUGAAUAUCACACAGCAAUUGUCAUCGAGUGCUAAAUGCAAUUCAUUUCAAUCACACAAUUUCUCCAACUUCAAAAGCUUAUCAUUGAAGAAGCUUGGAGAUGAAAAUGAUUUUAGAGUUCCUAAUCCUAUUUCUGCUCAGUCAGGAUCAGAUUUACAUUGUAGCAGCAUUCAACAAGAUAAAGAUCAAGAAAAUCAACCUUGCUGGAACUUGAGCUUCUCAACACACUUUCAAAAUGUUUCUGAAAAGCAGAAGAAAGGAACUGGCUUGAGAAAUCUAAAGGCAAGAGAGUCUAUGUGGAACCAAAGUGAUGAGAACUCAAAAAUGUCUGAGGAUUUUCAAGAUCCUGUGGAAAGAUCUGAAUCUGUCCCAUUAGUUCAGGAUAAACCUUCAGCAGAUGUAUCUUCAAGCCCAUCAGGCGAAGUUAAGAGCAUUGAAUCAUUGGAGCGAGCACAUCCUUCAUCAAAUCAGGAACAUAGAAGCAGUUCAGUGGGUGUCUUGAAAAGCUUUCAUGGUAAAAAUGCACAUUAUCAAAAUUUUUUGGCAGUGCAAGACAAAGCAGUUUAUAAAGAUAACGUUUUGGUGGAGUUUGCUGGGGUCAUAGAUAAGGAAAAUGCAUCCAAGGUGAGAAGUGAAACUUGUUCUAGAUUAUCUCUUGGAGUUGCCAUCAGAAGUCAUAAUGGGAUUGAGAAUGGCAGCAUAAACCAUGAAGAGAAGCAACAAGCGUCUUUUGAAGUGGGAAAUGCUGAACGGCAUGAUGAUGUCUCAGAAACUUCCACGGUAGACUCUAUAUCUGCUUUGGAUAUAAAUCCUGAUGAUGUUGUAAGAGUAAUAGGUGAGAAACAAUUUUGGAAAGCAAGAAGAACUAUUGUCAAGUAAGUAUCUCUUCUAGUUAUUGCUAUUUCCAUAAGUUUAAGGAUAUCAACAACAAAUUUGUGGAAUUGUCUUUAAAUUUCUAAAAGUGACGUAUCUUUUGGUAUUUAUAUCUAAUCUAAGUCAAAAUCAGCAAUUCAUUGUAGUCAUUCAUCUCAUAAGCACUUAUUCAUUCAAUGCUCUUUGGAUAUAGAGUAGUCAGACUAUGAAAAUGAACCUCAUUUCUUUCUCAAAGUAUUGGCUGUUACUAUAAGAAACUGAUGGGCGAGAUCUUUUAUGAAAUUGGUUCUUAAGGAGUCAUUUAUUGUAGAAACAUCAAAACCUCUGAUUGUAUUUGCAAUUAUGGCACAUCCUUUUAAUUAUGUCACUGUAUACACAGCCUUUCGCAUUGGUGUCAAUCAUAGCCAAACUUGGAAGAACAUGUGCCAAAACUCUCAAAUUGCAAAUGUGGUAUAUCUUUUAUUUAAAAUUUAUUAUAAGCAUAUUUAAGAAGAGGGGUAGAGAGAGAAGUGUGAAAAGAUCCCGAUUUUUUUAUAGAAUUAAAUAAUACUAAAUAAUUUUAAGAUAUAUUUAAUAAAUUGUUAUGGGAUAACAUUUAAAUAUACCACAUCAGAUGCUAACAUGAUUUAGUUUUUCUAAUAAGCUAAGCAUGUUAAUGAUUGGAUAGUUUUAGCUAAUGCACUUCCAAAAUUGGUUAUAAUUGACACUAGUGUGAAUUCUACAUAUAAUUGGCAAAAAGGAUUGGCUAUAACUGUAAAUUGAAAGAAAGGUUUGGAUUUUUAGAUCAUUAAACCAAGGUGAAUCAGUAAUGCUUCUGUAAGUAAUGAAGUUGCUUGAUUUAGUAGAUUAACUAAAAAUGGUCUUCCUUAGGAAAUUGAGUUCCUAGAAAUCUUGAAUGUGAUGAUGAAUAUUGAUAUUCAUACCUCACAUGUUUGUGUGAUGGAUUGGCAUUGUCAAAUCAUGACACAUUUUGAAAGUGGCAUUUUACAGUGUUCAGCUUUCAACAUCUUCAGCAGUCAAAGAUCAGCUUUCUGGGGAUUUGCGAUGAGAAUCUUCUAUCCAAAUUUAUUGAUCAGUGCUUUCCAUAGCCGCUGCUGUGAUUGAGCAUAAUUUGCUCUUUUAUUAUUAUUAUUAUUUAUUCUUUGCCCUGUUCCCAUUGAAAAUUUUGGUAUUAUAGUCACACAACCUUCUUUUUUGUGCCCAAAUUACAUCAUGAUAUGCAUUUGCAUUACUAUAGUGUGGAUAUGUCUGUAUGAGUUUGGGCAGGCCAUACUAAAAUAUUUCACCUAGCAGGAGGCAGGAUAUCAAACAUAGAUGUCUAGUAAAGUGUUCACUGGCACACAGAUUUAGUUAUUUAUUGACUCUCUCUCACAGCAUCAGUUUUCAAUAAAUUUUGCUGGGAAAUAACAAUAAUACUGUAAGAGUGGUCUAUCUGGCAAGAAUUUCAAAUGUAGUCAUCACUUGAACAAAUAGCAUAUCAGGUGAUGUUUAGUCCUAUAUUUUGGUCUUAUUUCUA
rnacentral:misc_RNA from 1 species